rnacentral:rRNA from 1 species
UACAGAGGUCCCAAGCGUUGUUCGGAUUCACUGGGCGUAAAGGGUGCGUAGGUGGCCGGGUAAGUUCGGUGUGAAAGCUCGGAGCUCAACUCCGAAAUGGCAUUGAAUACUAUCCGGCUUGAGGGUCGGAGGGGAGACUGGAAUUCUCGGUGUAGCAGUGAAAUGCGUAGAUAUCGAGAGGAACACCAGUGGCGAAGGCGAGUCUCUGGACGACUCCUGACACUGAGGCACGAAAGCGUGGGGAGCAAACAGG